rnacentral:rRNA from 1 species
UACGUAGGUGGCAAGCGUUACUCGGAAUCACUAGGCGUAAAGCGCAGGUAGGUGGUUGGAUAAGUUCUUUGUGAAAGCUCCUGGCUUAACUGGGAGAGGUCAAGGAAUACUGUUCGGCUAGAGUAUGGUAGGGGUAACUGGAAUUCCCGGUGUAGCGGUGAAAUGCGUAGAUAUCGGGAGGAAUACCUAUGGCGAAAGCAAGUUACUGGGCCAUUACUGACACUGAGCUGCGAAAGCUAGGGGAGCAAACAGG